rnacentral:miRNA from 1 species
CCAUGAUACAGGACACAGUCCC